CCUACGGGUGGCAGCAGUGAGGAAUAUUGGUCAAUGGGCGCGAGCCUGAACCAGCCAAGUCGCGUGAGGGAUGACGGCCCUACGGGUUGUAAACCUCUUUUGCCGGGGAGCAACGGGCGCCACGUGUGGCGCCACUGAUAGUACCCGGAGAAAAAGCAUCGGCUAACUCCGUGCCAGCAGCCGCGGUAAUACGGAGGAUGCGAGCGUUAUCCGGAUUCAUUGGGUUUAAAGGGUGCGCAGGCGGGCCUUUAAGCCGGCGGUGAAAUCGCGGGGCUCAACCCCGCCGAGCCGUCGGAACUGGGGGCCUGGAGUGCGGCGGAGGCAUGCGGAAUGCGCGGUGUAGCGGUGAAAUGCAUAGAUAUCGCGCAGAACCCCGAUUGCGAAGGCAGCGUGCCGUGCCGCCACUGACGCUGAGGCACGAAAGCGCGGGGAUCGAACAGGAUUAGAUACCCCUGUAGUC
rnacentral:rRNA from 1 species